rnacentral:rRNA from 1 species
CCACAUUGGGACUGAGACACGGCCCAGACUCCUACGGGAGGCAGCAGUGGGGAAUCUUCCGCAAUGGGCGAAAGCCUGACGGAGCAAUGCCGCGUGAGUGAUGAAGGAAUUCGUUCCGUAAAGCUCUUUUGUUUAUGACGAAUGUGCAGGUUGUGAAUAAUGACUUGUAAUGACGGUAGUAAACGAAUAAGCCACGGCUAACUACGUGCCAGCAGCCGCGGUAAUACGUAGGUGGCGAGCGUUGUCCGGAAUUAUUGGGCGUAAAGAGCAUGUAGGCGGUUUUUUAAGUCUGGAGUGAAAAUGCGGGGCUCAACCCCGUAUGGCUCUGGAUACUGGAAGACUUGAGUGCAGGAGAGGAAAGGGGAAUUCCCAGUGUAGCGGUGAAAUGCGUAGAUAUUGGGAGGAACACCAGUGGCGAAGGCGCCUUUCUGGACUGUGUCUGACGCUGAGAUGCGAAAGCCAGGGUAGCGAACGGGAUUAGAUACCCCGGUAGUCCUGGCCGUAAACGAUGGGUACUAGGUGUAGGAGGUAUCGACCCCUUCUGUGCCGGAGUUAACGCAAUAAGUACCCCGCCUGGGGAGUACGUCCGCAAGGAUGAAACUCAAAGGAAUUGACGGGGGCCCGCACAAGCGGUGGAGUAUGUGGUUUAAUUCGAAGCAACGCGAAGAACCUUACCAGGCCUUGACAUCCCUUGCAGAGGUAUAGAGAUAUAUCCGAGGUUAUCAAGGAGACAGGUGGUGCAUGGUUGUCGUCAGCUCGUGUCGUGAGAUGUUGGGUUAAGUCCCGCAACGAGCGCAACCCUUGUGAUAUGUUACUAACAUUGAGUUGAGGACUCAUAUCAGACUGCCGGUGAUAAACCGGAGGAAGGUGGGGAUGACGUCAAAUCAUCAUGCCCCUUAUGGCCUGGGCUACACACGUACUACAAUGGCGUCUACAAAGAGCGGCAAGCCUGUGAAGGCAAGCGAAUCUCAUAAAGGACGUCUCAGUUCGGAUUGAAGUCUGCAACCCGACUUCAUGAAGCUGGAAUCGCUAGUAAUCGCGAAUCAGCAUGUCGCGGUGAAUACGUUCUCGGGCCUUGUACACACCGCCCGUCACACCAUGAGAGUUGGCAACACCCGAAGCCGGCGGCCCAACCCGCAAGGGAGGGAGCUGUCUAAGGUGGGGCUGAUGAUUGGGGUGAAGUCGUAACAAGGUAUCCCUACGGGAACGUGGGGAUG